UAUUUUUUUUUGAUUCCAGGAUUAUUUGUUUUCUCUUAUAGGUAUGUGCAUGCACAUAUAAGGAUGUUUGUAUAGACCUAUAUGUCAGUGUGAACAAAAUGAAAGGUGGCGACUAUUCUCUUCUUGAAUCUGUUAAACCUUCCUAGAUCAAGUGAUCCCUUUCCUGAGUGGUCAGCAAUAAAGGUGGCAGGGAGCCCAGUGGUGCUUUGGCUUUGGCUCAAAUAAAAGCAGUGCUGUACAGAAGGCAGAUCAUCUUCCUGGUGAAUUGAGAGGAUGCUAUCUGCUGUCUACAGUCAGCAUGGAAAUGGCACAAGCCUCCAGUGACUGCAUUUGAUGGGUAACUUCAGCAUUUAUCCGAAUCAGUUUUCCAACUCAGAUGCUGCCCUUGGACUACUUUUAAAUAGAUU
rnacentral:lncRNA from 1 species